rnacentral:rRNA from 1 species
UCGGGAAUUUUGGGCAAUGGGCGAAAGCCUGACCCAGCAACGCCGCGUGAAGGAUGAAGUAUUUCGGUAUGUAAACUUCGAAAGAAUAGGAAGAAUAAAUGACGGUACUAUUUAUAAGGUCCGGCUAACUACGUGCCAGCAGCCGCGGUAAUACGUAGGGACCAAGCGUUGUUCGGAUUUACUGGGCGUAAAGGGCGCGUAGGCGGCAAUUCAAGUCAUCUGUGAAAUCUCCGGGCUUAACUCGGAACGGUCAGAUGAUACUGCUGUGCUAGAGUACAGAAAGGGCAAUCGGAAUUCUUGGUGUAGCGGUGAAAUGCGUAGAUAUCAAGAGGAACACCUGAGGCGAAGGCGGUUACCUGGGCUGUAACUGACGCUGAGGCGCGAAAGCUAGGGUAGCAAAAGGGGAUUAGAUACCCGUGUAGUCCCUGAGCGGGCUGGCAAGGCGCAU